rnacentral:rRNA from 1 species
GCGCACCAGGCGCGAAACCUUCGCAAUGCGGGAAACCGCGACGAGGGGACUCCCAGUGCCUACGCUCAGCGUAGGCUGUUCCCGAGCCUAGAAAGCUCGGGGAGUAAGGGCUGGGUAAGACGGGUGCCAGCCGCCGCGGUAAUACCCGCAGCCCGAGUGGUGGCCACUAUUAUUGGGCCUAAAGCGUCCGUAGCCGGCCCGGUAAAUGCCUGGGUAAAUCGUGAGGCCUAACCUCACGAAUUCCGGGUAGACUGCCGGGCUAGGGACCGGAGGAGGGAGAGGGUACUCCAGGGGUAGGGGUGAAAUCCUGUAAUCCCUGGAGGACCACCGGUGGCGAAGGCGCUCUCCUAGGACGGGUCCGACGGUGAGGGACGAAAGCCAGGGGAGCGAACCGGAUUAGAUA